UAUUCAUUAAUUUAGCCUAUCCGAAUGUAUUAUAACAGAUAUUUGUUAUUAUUAUAUUUAUGACUAUGUUUAUGAUUCGAUGUGCGAAUUAUACAAUGUAUUUGAUGGUCACCCUCAAAGUAGGCUACAUAAAACUGCUGAGUAGAAAUAUAGCCCACUAUUAGUAGUCUACUCGUUUUGGGCCUAAUUUGGGUAACACAUUUGUGACGUCAUUUCUAAGACUUCAAACCGGCUCCGUCAGAUGACGUUCUAUGUUGACGUCGCCAGCUGAUAUGAUGGGACGGUCCCGUUAUUCCGUUCAGCAAGAGAUGGAGUGCACGAGGAAAAACAUCGUCCGCCACAGAAGGCGUUAUAUACUCUAUUAUACGGCAUGGAUAUGUUGCGUUUUCAUCCCGAACGCGUCCACGGCGUCUGCCGCUCACCUGCGUCAGUGUAAAGAGACGGACUACUACUUUCAGUACACGGAGUGUGACAGCACCGGGUCCAGAUGGAGAGUGGCCAUUCCUCUGAAUCCAGGAGAGUGUACAGGACUGCCAGACCCUGUGCAGGGCACUGAAUGCACAUUCUCGUGCAAGGCGGGGGAGUUUCUGGAGAUGUCUGCUCAGGAAUGCACACAGUGUGCGGCUGGCACUUACUCCCUGGGCAGUGGCCUACGUUUUGAUGAGUGGGAUGACAUCCCUCCUGGAUUCAGCAGCCUAGCAACCUCCCCUGAUAACUCACCCAACCAACAGGAUGCAUCCACCUGCAGCAGUGCAAAGUGGGUUGUUCAGGGCUCGUAUCUAGAGUCCAACAGGGAUGAGUGUACUGUGUCUCUGAUCUACACUGUACACUUAAAGAAGCCGGGGUCCGUGUCCUUUGACUACCAGUAUGUGGAUAACAGCAUAUUCUUUGAAUUCUUUAUUCAGAACGACCAGUGUCAAGAGAUGGACCAGGAUUCAAAUAAAAAAUGGAUCAAACUGACUAGUCAUGGAGAGUGGGGCACACAUAGUGUUAAUCUGAAUUCUGGCACUAAUAUCCUGUACUGGAGAACUAGUAGAGUCACACUCGGCUCUAAAGCAGCCAAACCGGUACUCCUGAAGAACAUACAGAUAGAAGGGGUGGCGUACACAUCAGAGUGUUUUCCAUGUAAGCCUGGGACUUUCAGUCGCACCCCGGGUUCCUCCUCCUGUGAGCCCUGUCCACGGGACACAUACUCUGGCCGAGGGGCCAGCUCCUGCACCCCUUGCAACACAAAAACACAUUACGCCUCAGAAGGUUCUGCCAUGUGCAAAAGUAAAAAUCCAUGCACAAAGAAAGACUACAUCCAGACCUACAGCACCUGUGACAAGGAUGGAAAGACUCGGGUCAUAUAUAAGUGGGUAGAGCCUAAGAUUUGUUUGGAGACUGCUGCAGGUGCAGCAACACUGCCACCUUCUGGUCAGCGUGAGCCGUGUCCACCCUGUAAUCCCGGUUUCUAUAACAACGACUCUGCCACCUGUUCUCCCUGCCCACCUGGGACUUAUUCGGAUGGGGUCAAAGCUUGCCAGCCUUGUCCAGCUGGCACGGAACCUGUCCUCGGCUAUGAGUACAAGUGGUGGAACGUGCUGCCUGCCAACAUGAAGACAUCCUGCUUCAACGUGGCCAACAACAAUUGUGAUGGCUUGAAUGGUUGGGAAGUAGCGGGUGAUCAUUUACAAUCAGGAGCAGGUCGUUCGGAUAAUGAUUAUCUCAUUUUAACUCUCAGAGUGCCUGGAUUCAAGUUGCCCGUGUCUGUUCAAGGAGCAUCCGGCAGUGAGUACGGCCGGAUCACUUUUGAGUUUGAAACCAGCUGCUCAGCUGACUGUGAGUUUUACUUUAUGACGGACGUGAACAGAAGAAGCACAAAUGUAGUUGAAUCAUGGGAUGGGAGUAAAACCAAACAGAGUUACACACACAUCAUGACUGAAAACUCUUCUGUUGCGUUUACCUGGGCUUUCCAACGCACCAGUCAGGCUAGUGAUGUGCGUCAGUAUGUAAAUGACAUGGUGAAGAUUUACUCUGUGACUGUCACCAAUGCCAUGGACGGGGUGGCAUCAGCGUGCCGUGCCUGUGCCCUGCAGUCUCAGAAAGCCGGCUCCUCCUGUGUGCCGUGUCCAGCUGGACACUACAUUGAUAAAGAGACCAACCUGUGCCAAGAGUGCCCUCCCAACACUGUCCUGUCUGGGCACCACAUCUAUGGCAAAGAAACGUGCCAACCGUGUGGGCCGGGUAGCAAAAGCAACAAGGAGCACAGUGUGUGUUUCAGCGACUGUUCGUUCACAUACACUGACCAGAAUCGGACUCUUCGGUAUGACUUCAGUGCUCUGACGUCCGCUGGGUCCAUCAUGAACGGGCCCAGCUUCACUGCGAAAGGCACAAAGUACUACCACCUCUUCAAUAUCAGCCUGUGUGGAGCUGAGGGUCACAAGGCUGCGGUCUGCAGAGAUAAUGUCACAGACCUGCCCAAUGAGCACGCUGAAGGUGGUCAGCUGGGCAGUUCAGUCGAGGCUUUUCUCUGUCAGUCAACGAUUAUUCCUUCAGAAGGCCGGGGCUUACGAACAGCCCUUUCCUCUCAAUCCAUUAGCCUGGCCGACACUUUUCAGGGAGCCACAGUGGAGAAAUCACUUAACGGAAUAACCGCCAGACCAGAACUCUUUCCAUCUCCAUCCGAGAGAAUCCCAGACGUCCACUUCUUCUAUCGAUCUCCACAGGUCACAACCUCAUGUCAGAAAGGCAGAAAUGCAGUGGUUUCACUGCGCUGUAACCCGAAGAAAACAGCCAGGGGAGACAUAUCCGUGCCCAGUGAGUGCCCUGCUGGGACUUGUGACGGCUGCACAUUCCACUUCCUGUGGGAGAGCUCCAGUGCAUGUCCACGCUGCACUAAUGUCGACUACCACGCCAUUGAAGGAGCCUGUAAGGGAGGAGUGCAGGACACGGUGUACAUGUGGACUGAACCUCGGCUGUGUACUGGCGGACUGACUCUCCCGCUGAAGAAAACGUCUCCAUGUGAGGCGAUUGAUUUCUGGCUGAAGGUGGGCGCUGGGCUUGGAGCGUUCUGUGCCGUUCUGCUUGUCUCCCUGACCUUCUACUUUUGGAAGAAAAACAAAAAGCUGGAGUAUAAGUAUUCCAAACUAGUGAUGACAGCCAAUAAAGAGUGCGAGCUGCAGGCGGCGGACAGCUGUGCCAUUAUGGAAGGAGAAGGGGAGGAGAAUGAGGAAGAGGAUGUGGUUUAUGCCAACAAGCCUUCUCUUCUGGCUAAGCUAAAGACUAUCGCCACCAAGAAAGCCAGAAGCCAGCUGAUUGGAUGUCAGCAGAAUAAUUUAGUAGACGAGAGAACACACUGGGAAGUUUUUUUUUUUUUUUUAUCGGUGAGGAAAUGCUCGUCUUUGUGAGACAUCUGAAUCCAUCACAGUCACAGAGACAGAAAGUGUUGAGAAGGUUAUGCCAGUAGGCAACAAGUGCGGACAACAUGCGCCUUCGAUGUUCUGCAGCAGACUUAUAGCCGACAGUCAAAGUGGCAUUACGUCAUCAAAGUGUGGACUCGGAAGAAGAUUGCGAGGGCUUAUUAGGGUUCCAUUUGGGACAGUGCCUAAAGAGACAUGGAGAACUGGCAAUGUGACAUCACCGCUGAGCAUGAUCCGCUUGACUCUCAGCGAGCUGCCUACCUAGACAGCAUUUUGAAGCGUCAUAGGAGUUCCCGACAUGAAGAAGACUGCUCCAAAAGUUGACAGAACACCCCCCUGUAACCCUACUGGAUUACCUCACCACUUGAUGCCAUGUGGCGACCUAAUUGCUAUAGCAACGGCAUGUUGCCACAGUGUGUUAGGGUAUUCGAGGAGUCAGGCUCUUGGAGAUGUGACAGGCUCCUCGCAGCACAGAAACACUCUGACGCAGAGGAAGGGUGGGCGAGCACAGGCGGCGGCGGCUGCGAUGGGGGGCGGAUUUAUGAGGUGUGUGAGAUGGCUUGCUGGGUUUCCACGGCUCUGGCAGCUACACAAAGGCUCACAGCCUGGCCAGGAGAUGGCUCAAAGGCUGGAUAACACUCUACUGCAGUGAUGCUAUCUCCACCGUGCAAUGCAACACAAAGCACAACACGCAGGCCUCUGGCAGCAUCACACUAACGGCAGCUUUCCUCAUUAUCUUCUUCCACCGUGAUUCAGUCUGCCAGCCAAACAGCAACAAUGGUGCUCUCACUGGGCAAAAGCUACGCGGCCGCCACCGGUUUAAAGCGUCUCCACUUGCUUGAGUUCUUCCUCUCUCUCCUGAGAGGUCAGUGGGAGAUCUGGAGGGCCGGAGGAGAGGGGAGGGAGAGUGCUUUCUGCUUUGAUGACAGACUCUUGGACUCUUCAGAAGUGGACUGGUGUUGUUUUAGCACACUGAGUCUCUGUGGCCACACCGGGUGAGAGGAAAUUCAGGGCCGCUUCCCCCCUCACACUCUGACGCCGAGCAUAACUGAGUGAGAAUGCGAGGAGAAUGUGUGAGCGGCCCUGUCAGACAUCAUCCACAAGUUGAAAUGUGGCGAACGGCAUGUACUGAGGUAUCAAGCAGGGUUGCUCUAUCUAUCUAUCUAUCUAUCUAUCUAUCUAUCUAUCUAUCUAUCUAUCUAUCUAUCUAUCUAUCUAUCUAUCUAUCUAUCUAUCUAUCUAUCUAUCUAUCUAUCUGUCUAUCUAUCUAUCUAUCGUUCUAUCGUUCUAUCGUUCUAUCUAUCUAUCGUUCUAUCUAUCUAUCGUUCUAUCUAUCGUUCUAUCUUUAGUUCCAUCCAUCCAACUCUUAAAGGUUUUAAACUACAUUUCAAGUUUCUCAAACUUUUCUAGUUAAAAAUUACAUAUGAAUUUCUUUGCCUUUUAAUUGAACUUUCUUACAUUCAUUAAGAAUUGUCAUUUAAAAGUCAUUCUCAGUUCAAUUCUGUAUGGUGAAUGAGAAAAUAAGGAGGUCUCUUUCUAUGUUUGUGAUAAUUACAUAUUUAAAAUUAAAUUAAGAAAACGUUGAAGAAAUAUUAGAGACAAAAUGUUUAAAAUUCAAAUGGAACAAAGAUGCUUGAAGUUAUGCACUUCAUCAGUGCACAUUAUUUCAAAGAAAAACAUCAAAAUGUAAUAACUUUCCCUGCCUCUGAAAAGACUUUCCUUUUUGUUUGACGUCACUCUUUUUUCAGCCUUUUUCCUUCUGACCACCUGUCAUAUAGAGAGCAGUUUUCAUGUUCCAAUCAAUUCCCGACGGAUAAAAGUUAUUUUCUUGUUGAAUAUCCUGCUUCUCUCAGAAAUGAGGUAUGGGUUGGAAACUUUGUUUUGUGAUGAUUUUUAAACAGGACACAUAUAUUGUUCAAAAUAAGAGCACAGAAAUGUAACCAUGAUUAUAUAUUUCUCUGUAAACAUGUCUGUCUUAAAUCAGUGGAAAUAUAAUAACCAGUUGUAUGUUCAUGUA